UACGAAGGGGGCUAGCGUUGCUCGGAAUCACUGGGCGUAAAGGGUGCGUAGGCGGGUCUUUAAGUCAGGGGUGAAAUCCUGGAGCUCAACUCCAGAACUGCCGUUUGAUACUGAGGAUCUUGAGUUCGGGAGAGGUGAGUGGAACUGCGAGUGUAGAGGUGAAAUUCGUAGAUAGUUCGCGAAGAACACCAGUGGCGAAGGCGGCUCACUGGCCCGAGUAACUGACGGCUGAGGCACGGAAAGCGUCGGGGAGCCAAACAGG
rnacentral:rRNA from 1 species